rnacentral:rRNA from 1 species
CUACGGGAGGCUGCAGUGGGGAAUUUUGCGCAAUGGGGGAAACCCUGACGCAGCAAUACCGCGUGAGUGAAGAAGGCCUUUGGGUCGUAAAGCUCUUUUCUUGGGGAAGAUAGUGACGGUACCCAAGGAAUAAGCACCGGCUAACUCCGUGCCAGCAGCCGCGGUAAUACGGAGGGUGCAAGCGUUGUUCAGAUUUACUGGGCGUAAAGGGCACGUAGGCGGCACAGCAAGUUAAGGGUGAAAUCCCGGGGCUCAACUCCGGAACUGCUCUUAAAACUGCUGAGCUAGAGAUAGUCAGAGGCGGGUGGAAUUCCAGGUGUAGAGGUGAAAUUCGUAGAUAUCUGGAGGAACACCGGUGGCGAAGGCGGCCCGCUGGGGCUAUUCUGACGCUAAGGUGCGAAAGCGUGGGGAGCAAACGGGAUUAGAUACCCUGGUAGUC